GGAACUGUACAGGCUGACUGGGUGGAAUGGAACUGUACAGGCGGAUGACUGGGUGGAUGGAACUGUACAGGCGGAUGAGGGUGGAUGGAACUGUACAGGCGGUGACUGGGUGGAUGGAACUGUACAGGCUACUGGGUGGAUGGAACUGUACAGGCUGAACAGGUGGUAGAUGGAACUGUACAGGCUGACUGGGUGGAUGGAACUGUACAGGUUGGAAUGGAACUACAGGCGUGACUGGGUGGAUGGAAACUGUACAGGCGGAUGACAGGGUGGGAUGGAACUGUACGGCGAUGACUGGGUGGAUGGAACUGUACAGGCGGAUGACUGGGUGGAUGGAACCUGUAACAGGCUGGAUGACUGGGUGGAAUGGAACUGAUGGUCUACCUCUCUCAUUCACUCUACAGAACCACCCAAUGACGUGGUGGCAUGACAAACUUGAACUGUGGGAAGACAAAAUAAAUGCUUUCUUCUUAAAUAAAAA